ACUGCCUGACUUCAACUGCAAGACCUUAAUCCACUGGAUACUUAGCUCCUUUAAUGUUCUUCCCUAAAAGAAACGGAAGUAUUUUAGGUUAGUGGGAAUGAGUCAAAAUCCAAUUCAUUACUCUGAAAGAGUUCUUCUGGAAGAUUUAUUUUCUUUCUUGCAUUUCUGCAAGGAAUCCUGAGCUGCUGAUAUUGAAGGACCUGCAACCUGUUAAGGACAGUGGCCUCAGGCACCGCCCUAAUGAACUCCACAUUUGAAUCCGUCCAGAGCUGGAAACUGGCUACUGCGGUUUUCCUCCAUCAUAAGAAGUUUCUGGGCCAGGGAUGGAACCCGCACCACAGCAGUGACAAUGCCGGAUCCUUUACCUGCGAGGCCACCAGGGAGCUCCUGAAAUCCACCAUUUCAAAGCACAGUCUACCCUGGGAAUGUUCCAGAUUCUUCUGCCAAGUGAUGCUCUUUGUGUAGGCUGGACCCUCUGCCUGGGGGUCUUUCCCCUUUCGCUGAUGUGUCACCUCCAUGCAAAGCCCUGCCACUGUCCUUCCCCACCGCCUCAAUUAAGCAUUCCUCCCUCUGCACCCCCAGGACACCCUAGGGCACCUCAGCUGGACGUCUCUCUAUCUCUCGGUGGAGAAGCAUUUGUUUACAUUUGCCUUUCCUGCCUUAGUUUUUACGGCCCUGCCCGUGCCCAGCCCAGGAAGUAUGAGAGUAAAGCGAGUAGAUAAGAGAGUUGUGAAAGGUACUAGCCCUGCCCCUUCCUCCCUCUGGUGGCCUCUUCAAGGGAGAACCUUGAUGGAGAAGGUGGUCCACUGAGUUUCAGCAAUCCUGUGUCUGUGACAACACUUAGGCGUUCCCGUUGUGGCUCAGUGGGUUAAGAACCGAUUAGUAUCCAUGAAGAUUGGGGUUCAAUCCCUGGCCUUGCUCAGAGGGUUAAGGAUCCAGCGUGCCACGAGCUGUUUGUGUAGGUUAAAGAUGUGGCUCAGAUCUGGUGCUGCUGUGACUGUGGUAUAGGCUGGCGGCUGCAGCUCCAAUUCGAACCUAAGCCUGGGAACGUCCAUGAGCCACAACUGCAGCCAUAAAAAGACAAUAAAAUAAAAUAGUCUG
rnacentral:lncRNA from 1 species